GUCUUGGCAGCAGCUAGAAUUCUGCUCUGAUGCGUUCUCUCAAAAGCCAUCAACAAAAACACAGUGACCUCAAAACAAGGAGGACAGGAGUCAUAAAUACCAGAGAGCCAAUCACUUCUGUGUGUGGUUUAAAUAACAUUUCCUUGUGGAACAGGUUGUACUGUCUACAGCAAAUUCUGCAGAAUUACUGCUUGAUCCACUCCCAAUACUGCUGUGGGACAUUUCCUCAAAUCAGAGCGAAAAGAACAAUCUCAGGUUUACAUUAAGUGCUUCAAAUCCCUGUGGACAUUUGUACAAGACCUUCAGGUUUUCCUCAACUCUCCAUCCACAGGUUAUUUCCCACAGUAGUAACACACGGCUCUCAGGCAGCGAGUGGAAGGAGUUCCCAGGGAAGUAGGCAGAGGGGUAAAACACGUGGGGCUUCCUCUGCUUCAGGAUGUGCUGCAGCAGCUCGUACAGGAC